UGGGGAAUUUUGGACAAUGGGCGAAAGCCUGAUCCAGCAAUGCCGCGUGCAGGAUGAAGGCCUUCGGGUUGUAAACUGCUUUUCUGUGAACGGAAAAAGCGAAAAUCGCUUCCUUCAUAAUACAGGGGGGCCCCAUGACGGUACCGUAAGAAUAAGCACCGGCUAACUACGUGCCAGCAGCCGCGGUAAUACGUAGGGUGCGAGCGUUAAUCGGAAUUACUGGGCGUAAAGCGUGCGCAGGCGGUUAUGUAAGACAGAUGUGAAAUCCCCGGGCUCAACCUGGGAACUGCAUUUGUGACUGCAUGGCUAGAGUACGGUAGAGGGGGAUGGAAUUCCGCGUGUAGCAGUGAAAUGCGUUAGAUAUGCGGAGGAACACCGAUGGCGAAGGCAAUCCCCUGGACCUGUACUGACGCUCAUGCACGAAAGCGUGGGGAGCAAACA
rnacentral:rRNA from 1 species